rnacentral:lncRNA from 1 species
GCAAAAGUUAUGGUGCAUAAGCCAUAACUUAUGCACCAUGCAUAAGGUCUUCACAGCCAUCAGAUCAAUUGGACACUUGUAAUAAUCCUACGGUCUUCAGCUCAGANUGGUGCAUAAGCCAUAACUUAUGCACCAUGCAUAAGGUCUUCACAGCCAUCAGAUCAAUUGGACACUUGUAAUAAUCCUACGGUCUUCAGCUC